GCAGCAGCCACGGUAAUACAGAGGGUGCAAGCGUUAAUCGGAUUUACUGGGCGUAAAGCGUGCGUAGGUGGCUGUUUAAGUCGGAUGUGAAAGCCCUGGGCUUAACCUGGGAACUGCAUUCGAUACUGGAUAGCUAGAGAUCGGUAGAGGGCAGCGGAAUUCCGGGUGUAGCGGUGAAAUGCGUAGAUAUCCGGAGGAACACCGAUGGCGAAGGCAACUGCCUGGGCCUGAUCUGACACUGAGGCACGAAAGCGUGGGUAGCAAACAGGAUUAGAUACCCGGGUAGUCCCUGUCUCUUAUAC
rnacentral:rRNA from 1 species